rnacentral:lncRNA from 1 species
UUUUUUUUUUUUUUUUUUUUUUUGCUUUUGACGACUCAACACAAGGUUACAACUUCACUUAGAAGAAAUUUAAUGGGAGUUAAACCCUUGAAAAACCUGUUUUCAUGAACGUAAUCACGCCAAAAAAUUCCAACCUCGAUCAAUCACAGGAUAGGUUAAAUUCAAGUGAUAAAAUCAAGAGAACAAGAAUCAAAAUUUAUUUUUUUGUUUCUUUUAAAUCAAAAGGCGGCUAGGGUUUUGGUAGAAAAAUAAAUAGAAGAAAAAAAAGAAAAGAAAAGGAUAUUAACCUGAAUCAAGAGCCGAAGCUCUGAUACCAAGUACCUUAAUGAAAUAGGUGCAAUUUUUUUUUGGUAAGCCACAAGUACUUGCAAUUAACUUCUUUUCUUAAUUUAAAGUUUUGGUUUAUUUGAUCAACAUCAAACUUAACUAUAGUUGAAGCAACUUACAAGAACGUACAAAAUCCGAAAUAUCAAUGUGUUUCAUGAUAAAGACUCUUUCGGUCAGCAAGCAUUAUCAUAUUGGUACAAAGUUAGUCCUAUAACACAUCAUUUAUGUGAUUUGAACUAAAGAUUCAAGGUUAUUCAACAUGAUGAGCCAAUCUAGAUGCAUAAACAUUUCUCUUUCUGCUAAAAUAGGCCUAUAUAUAUAUAUAUAUAAUGUUGCUAAAAGGAGCAAAUUUUAUGCACAUGUCAUUAACUUCAAGAAUACGAACGUUUUCUUCUUACACUUUACCCUCAAGACUAACUUGUUUUAAUAAUUAUUUCACAUGGUCCUCAUGAAAUAUUUGGUAUUAGUGUAUUGUAACUGAGGUUUUGUAGUCUUAAGAUGAUCCUAGUCUCUUUGUAAUACAAAAAGAGGGAAUUAUAAUUGAAAAUGUUAAAUAUGAUUACUGCAAAUCAACAUUAAAUUUUGGUCAAAUGUAAAAAACCAUUGAAGAUAUACCCUUCAUUCAAAAAAUAUAGAUGGUUACAAUGUAGUCAUUCACAUUGUGUCCUAUUAUCUUGUGCAACACAAAAGUAAUUAAUACAAGAAAUAGCAUAUCAUGUCUUUAAUAGCAGUUUGGGUUUGUUUGGAUAGUGAAGUUUUAAAAAAAUCUCUUUUUGCUACAUAAUAAUGACAUUGCUCAAUUACCUAUUUAUUUUUCCAUCCAACUUUCUAUUUAACAUCCAUCAUAUCAUCGAAAAUGUUAUAGUAUUAUUUUAAAAGUUUUUUUUUCUAAUAUUCUUUAAUCCAAAAAUUUUUUUUUUAGCUCAUCUUUUACAGUUUAAUUAACUAUAAACUAAUUUCUACUAGAUUAUUAAAAAGGGAAAAUACAUGCAAAAGCAUGGAUUAAAUGAAAAUUUAACUAGUUGACAUUGCUAGUCUGACAAAUUAAACCUUUCGUCAAAACUUACAAUGGUAGUGAUACAUAACAUCACUAAUAUGAUCGUGGAUUUAGGUAACGAUUGCCCAUUAGACAUUGUUAAGAGAAGUUUGAAGCACUAUUUUUUUAUAAAAUUUGAAAAAAAUAUCUAAAUGCAUUGGUUAGAAAAAUCCAUUGUCAAUUUGGAUUUAGCUCUAAGAUACCUGUGGAUUAAGACAAUAGAGUAUUGGUUAAUUUGACCCCAAAAAAAAAUUUGUGGUCUCAUUUAAUCCAUAUCCUCACGCGCUAGUCCACACGUCAAGGUGAAUUUUGUGUGCAACUAAUCUCAAUCAAAAAUCGCAACAGCAUCAAAAACAUCAAUUGGCAUUAUUAUAUUAUUUUUUCCUCCAGUCACAUUCAAAUUGAUUUGAGUGGUUAACAUAUAUUUGAUGUCAAAUUGAUGAAGGCAUGAAUCAUGCAAUAUUUGCCCAAUCCGGGUAGUUCGAGUGAUUUCGUUGCUCCUCUUUAGGAUAUGGCGGAUAAUGUGUUCGAGAGGAGUGGACCUCUUCUCUCUGGUCGCAGGGGAUUCGGCCCGGACAUCCUUGUGUCAAAAAAAAAAAAAGAAUCAUGCAAUAUUUUAUCGGACUUAAUGGUCACAAUAUUGAUGUCUUCUGGGUAAGAAAAUCUCAGACAAUGAUCCAACUAUGGAAAAUUAAGAGAAAAAUGAUCGAUAGUUGGCAGCUGCAGAAAAUAGGAAAAUACUCUGAUAUUGAUACAUGUCAAUAUCAUUGAAGAAAAAAUCUUACAAUAUGAUGGAGCCAACUGACCUAAAUUUUAAAACCAUUGUGCUUCAUUCAACAGUACGUGAGAAGGCUUUUUUUUUUUCCCCUUAAGCAGGGGAUAUUCAAGAAACGGAGAGAAAGAAGAGGGAUUUCUAAAUUUUGAAAUCUCAUUCUUAACUACUUGAUUAAGAUUUUCUCGAUAAAAUUUCGUGUUUCAAGAUUUCUGUGAUAAUGGAACGGUAUCCAAAUUUGAUACAAUCCACCACUCUGCCCAUUGUUUUAGUUUUUGACAAUUAAAAAUCUCAUCUGACAAUACAACGCCCAAACAUGAAUUAUGGACAUGCUUCUUUGGCCACUCCGAUGAGUCGAGUUUUUUUUUUUUUUUUUUUUGCUGUUAAAGAAUAUGGUAUUUAUUGCUAUGUUAUACUCAUAUUAAUAAAAGAAGGGUUUUUAAGGACAUUCGUUAACACACCUAAUAUUCAACUAAUUUAUCAUAUAUAUAUAUAUACACACACACACAUACUAACACAUAUUAUCCUCCCUUGUAUUUGUAUACUUUCUUUAUUUAAUCUUACAUACCCUCUCUUGUAUUUAUUUACUUUUCGUAAUUAAUCUUAUAUUUUAAAAAAUAUAACACCUGAAAUAUAUCUUAAUGAGUGCCUUAUAGGCACCCGUCAAACAAACCGAUAAAAGAAAAUUAAUGUACAUAAAUUUGGAUUUUCCUAAUUAAGUAACCAAAUACACAAAACUUUUUCAUCUACAAUGCACCACUCUCGUUAUUUUUGCCUAAUAUACAAUUUUCUGUUGACGAUAUUGUGAGCUCUUAUUUUCCAGCCAAAGCAACUUGUCUUCAAAAUCCAGUUUACCCCUUCUAAAAGUAAACCUGUGGACAAUAAAUUAUGGGACUCAAUUCAUUGACACCACAAAAAUUAAUUCUUUCCUCUUGCUAUAGUCGUUUACCACCACAAGGGCUUUAAUUAUCUUGAUGAUGUUGUUAAUGGUUCCAAAAUUCAAACCCUUCACGAUUAUCUACCCAUUCAUAAUUUCUAGACUGAAAUAAAAUCUUCCAUGGCAAAAAUCCAACUAUCACCAGCCUGUUCUGUUCGGAUAGAAGAUUAUUUCUAAUAAUUUUGUACAAUUUGUAGUUUCAUGAUAUCAUAUAUAAUUGAACAACAUAUUUAUAAUCCAACAAAAAAAAUUACAAGUAACUGUCAAACUAAGCACACUCAAUUUGGUUUCUUCACUUGUUUUGGCUCAAAGAAGGGGAACAAAUUUUAAUUAUUCAACUUCAUAAAUUUCCUUGAGUACCACUAAGAAAUUUUUUAGUGUGUUUGGAUAGGAGAUUAUUUGGGAUAAUUUUUUUUUUAAAAAAAAUACUGUAACACUUUUUUGAUUUGAUAUAUGUGAGAUAAAAAAGUGAUUAGAAAAUGCAUUGAUGAUACAAGAAAGUCAGUACAUAUAAAUAAGGUGUAAAUAAAGUACAAUCCAAACACACUCGCACAACUUUUGCACCUUGCAUUAUAUAUUUUUUAAAAUAUAAUGUGUUGAUGUCCUGCAUUUGCACCCUCUCAAAUUUACGAGCUUGAAAGAUUGGCCAAUUUCAUAAUUUGUGAUGAAAAAAAAAUGUUAUCUGCUAAAGAGGAUUGAUUUACAAGUGGUUCAGGCGUCAGGAGGAGUCGCAUUUGGAGAAUAUGACUAGCCAAGGUGGUCACGUUUGACGAAUGCGACCACCCUAUUUUCUCCUUCAUCAAAAAGAAAUUGAAUAUAAAAAAAAGGGUGAAUGGUCUCAUUCGUGGUCCUGGUCUGUGACCAUCCUAUUUUCUUCAUAUUAAAAAAUAAAAAGUUGGGCACAAAUAUGACUGCAAUUUAAACUGUGGUUUUUGAAAACAGGUGAACAUUUUUUUUAAAGAAAAAAGGUGGGCUUCUAGCCUCUUUAGCAAAACAAACUUUUGAUUCCCUAUAGUUAUACUUCAUACUAAUGUCUAUGUAGAUAGAUUAUGCAUGGGUUCUAAAUUGUAUACUAUUAAGAUUUAUGAAAAAGCUUUUGUUGGUAAGUUCAAUUCUAUGGGUCGAAUAAAAUGUAGACGAAAAUGUAAAAAUAAAAGUACAAGUUUCACAAUAAAUACCUUUAAAAUAGUAAAUUGCGCUAAUUCCAUGGGGCUUUAUGAUUUUGGGAACUCUAUCAGUAAUUAGAACGUUUAGUAGCAUACACGGAUGUGGAAUAUGUCAUUGUCUGUUCGUGUGUGUUUGUAAGAGAGAUUUAAAAAAGUAGGUAAGAAAUUUAGGAGUAAAAAAUGAAAUGAAUAGUGCAUUGUAUUGCGCAACCGAUCUUCUGUCUCGCUUUCUGUGUUACUCUCUGUCUCACUUUUUAUUAUAUUGUUAUUUCUGCUUUAUAAACAUUAUAUUUUAGUUCUUUUUUAUUUUUUUAAGAUUCACUAACUAUCACCUGAGUAAUGUACAAAAUUUAACGAACUCAAAAAAAUAAAAAUUGCAUAAAAAAAAGAGAUUUUUUUUAAUGAAUUUUCUCUUGUAAUUUUUAAAAUUUUCUAUCAUACAUUACUUUUUUUGAAAUUGUUGUAUUAAUUUUUUACUCAAUUAAUAGUUAUUGGAUUUUAAAGAAAUAAAAAGAAACUAAAAUAUGAUGUUUAUGAAGGAUAAAUAGCAAUAUAAUAAAAAGUGGGACGGAGAGUGGCAUAGGGAAUGAGACAGAAGAUCCGUUACGAUUAUAUUGGAUACUCAAUUACGAAAAAUUGGAUUGAAGCAAAGCCCGUAAACGCGCGUACACACACAUAUACACAUUUAUAUAUAUACAUAUACAUACAUAUACAUAUAUAUAUAAUAAAUUUCUUACUCGAGAAAUGUGAUUGCCUUUACGAACUUAGGAAAAAAAAAGAAGGUCCUACCUAACCAUUCGCUGCAUUGUUUUGCAGCCCAUUUUGUAUUUCAAGUGCCCUCUCCCUUUCUUGUUCACCCCUUGUUCGUCUCUCCCCAUUUUUGUUAUGUAGUAAAAUUUAGUUGAUGGGAAAAAAGACUACAUGCGCAGAAAUCUUGAAUUUUACUCGUUGACAAAAAAACAGAUAUCGAGAAUUUGGAAUAUGCAUAAAUAACAACCUGAAAUAUAUUAGUAAAGUACUUUUUUUUGGGCUGAUGCCUGAUUAUUGAUAAGAAUGUAUUUCAUUAUUUUAAAGAUGAUAAUUUUUUUGUGAUCAAAAUUUUAUAAAUUAAUUGAAUAAUGAUUGAUUUAUUUGAUAAAUCAAUCCCAAAAUUCAAUAAAUCAACAUACAUGCUUAUUUUUCAUACAUUAAUUUAGAUUAUAUCUAUAAUUAUUAUAAUAGUAACAUUUUUAGUAAUGUAAAUAUUUAAUAAUUUGUACUCGUGAACUUGAAAGUGGUGAUUUUUAAGUGCAAUAACAAAAUUCUAAAAAUUAGCAACAAAUAAUUUCAAGUAUAUGAUGAGGAAGAGAUUGCUGGGAGGGAUGGGCUUUUCCUUUCUUUUUUUUUUUUUUUUUUAAGUCAUCCUAAGACUAUUGUGGAUGGAUGGGUUUUACCUAAGUCAUCUUACAGCCUUUUCCUAUUUUUCUUUUAAAUUGCAGGAAGCAGUCACAGUCGCGAUGUGCGACCACCUACCCUUUUUCUUUUCUAAUUUUCAUUUUUUUUUCUGUGAGGAAGAAAAUAGGCUAAUUGCGUUCAUGGUCACAUUCUUCGAAUCCGACUCUCUCAUAUGCCUGAAUCUCUUCCAGAUCAAUCCCCUUUGGUAGAUAAAAAUUUUUUGUUUUCAUCACAAACUAAGAAAUUGGCCUAGAAAGAUUGCCUCCACUGAGCUCAGAAUGUCGAACUUCAAAUUUAAGAAGAAAAGAAACCAGGUAAAAAGUAGGAUUUGAAUGUCAAAGACAUUGAUCUUAAUUAUCUUCGUUACAGGCUUGUAAGUACUUUCUUCUUCUGUACAUUCCAUCUUUAUAAGUGUUUUUACUCUUACCAUGUAGAAUUAUAGUAUACAUCAUUAUUUUACUCGACAAAUGCAUACAAGUCAUUUAUACAUACGUUAAAGUGUCAGAAUAUAGAGGUUCUGAAUUUCAAUUCUCCUCCUUCCUAUCCACUUUUAAAAUUUCACCCCUCUCAUACUGGAAGAAAAAAAAAUGCACAUAAGUCAUAUUGUUACUAUAUUGAUCUUUUUGUAGAAGGCAUAAAGUUUUUUUUUAAACAGUUGGCUUUAUUUGGAUUGCAUUGGACUUUUUAUAAGAAAAUAACUGUAGCGAUUUGAUAUAUGUGAGAUAAAAAGAUGAUUGAAAAAUAUGUCUACGAAAAAUAUAGCAAUUUUGUUAUAGGUUCAUUUACACAUUCAAAUAAAUAAAGAGUAAAUCUUAUGUAUACUGACAGUGUAUACACUAUCAUCGUUGGAUUCAUGACAUGUGCGCAAAAAAUGAAUUUAAAUUCAAAUUUUGCAUUGUUAUCAUUCAUCGGACGCUGAUAGUGUAUACACUGUCAAUGUAUAUAAAAUUAAUUCAUAAAUAUAAGCAUUUUUAAGCUUAAGGGAUAUGCAAAGUUAAAAAAAAAAAAGGGAAUAGGUUUUUGACAAUUUCAUUUGGUAGAGGUUUUGAAUAUUAAGCCCUGCUCCCCGAUUAGCAAUUUCGAUGUAACAAAAAGUAAGCCCAUCCAAAAAAAAAAAAUGAAUUUUCUAUGAUGUACCCUUAGGACAAAGAAUAAGCAUACAAAAAAAAGGGUGUGACCCAUUAUAAAAGUUUGAUCUAGUCCCACCUCCUAUUUCGCUUAAAAUUUUAAACUUUUGCCAACAAAAUAUAGCUUGACCCAUCUCUAUUGCUGAUGAGAUUUUAGUCUAUUCGCUAAAAUUGAAGUUUUAAGAAUUAGAAAUUCUAGAUUCAAUUUUUCCUUCUCGCUUUUUUUCAUAGACAGGAGGAGAUGUUAGCCGCAUAUAUUACAAAUUUUUAAAUAAAAGAAAGUUAGAAAGGAUUGUGAAAACAACUGAAAAUAAAUAAAUAAUACUACUCCCUUAUAUCAAAUCAAAGUAACGAACACAACCAAAGUUCAUAUUAUCUAAUUUUAUAACAGAAUGAAGCUUUGGAAGAUUGAAAGUAGAAUGAAACACAUGUUGAUUACCCAUCCCUAGACACGGCAGCCAAUUUAUCACCACGCUUCCUUCCCUGUCCCUGUAUAUGCGAGAAACCGAGGCUGAUAGAAGAAGCAAGUAAUGUCGGCUUUUGGGAAUUUUGCCCCUAAAAGGCCACCCCUGUCGACACCAAAUCUUUCCUAAUAAUAACAAUAAUAAUGGUGAAAUAAAAUAAAUGAUAAUGUCCUAAUCUUUUCCUAUGGGAAGGAGCCCCUUCUAGUUUUUAGCUUUCCUUGUUUAAAUAAAUUCUCUAAUAGGAUUUUUUAGUGAGAGAUUAUUCUCUCUUAAUAUCUCCUAGUGAGUAUUGCUUUUCUCCUAAAUUGUUCUACUAGGAGUUUUAUUCUCUCAAAAUUUUCUUGCGAGUCUUUUUAGUUGUUGUCAUAUUUCUGUGAGAUUUUGUAGAUAUUUCGAAUUUGUAAUUUCUCCAUUUACGAUUGUUAGAUUUAAAUUUCUUUUUGGACUUAGAAUCAGUUUUUGAUCGGAUCUAACUAUUAGAAGUUAUGGAUGGAUCUAACAGGUUAUAAUGAUUCAUAUGGAUAGAAGAAACGUUAGAACAUCAAUGUUAUCUUUAUUUGUAUUUUGUUGCAUCUAUAGAUUUUCAGAUCUAUACGUAUUUGUAUCAUAUUUGAUUUGAUAUAUUUUCUAUCAUUAGUACAAAUUUACUGAAUGAAAUUAUCCCUUCUAUCAAAAAAAAAAAAGCUUGAAAAUGCAAAAUAAUUAAUAGAAUAAUAAAAAAGUUGUUCUUGAAAAUUUGUUUAUGGUAAGUUGCAAAAAGCUAGAUAGAUUGUGAAAAAGUUGCAGAGAGAUCUAAAUAUCUAAAUCUCAAUGUUUGGAAAUAUUUCGGCCCGCAAAAUAUUGAACUAACAACAUUAAUUUCUUUUUAAAAAGGGCUCAAAUUAGCAAACGGAAAAGGGAGAAAUAUUUAACAUCAAUGAAGUAUGUUAGAUGUUCACAUUUCACAUUGCCUAAGGUGGUCACAAUUCAUUAUAUUUCUUAGUGAAUGUCAUGCCCAUGCGGACUGGUAUUUUUACUUAGUAUUUCCAACUAUCAAGAUUUACACCUUUUUAAUUUUUUGAAUGACAUAAUUGUAAUCCACCUCAUCAAAAAAAUUGUUGAGCCUGUCAUAAAUAAUUUUUCAAACAUAAACUUUUCUUCUCUUUUAUUAUAGUUUUUAAGUUCUUUUUUUGGAGUUAAAUUUGUAAUAUUAAUUUCACAUGAAAUAAUAUGAUUUAUGCAUUACACAUAAAAAUAUUAUGCAAAUAGGUUGAGCUUAUUAUUGUUGAUAUAGUGAGGCAAGUGUAAAGUAAACAUCCUCGAGGAUGUCCUUAUCCCCGCUAAAGGAUCCUAGCUCCACUACUAGUUAGGGCAUCCGUAAUGGAUUACACUCUAUUAAGUAUAAAUUAUAUGGCACAUCAUUAGUUUAUUGUCCCCUCUUUCAAUACACUAUUUCUCACCAUAAGUUAUAGUUUAUAGAGUAUAAUAGUAUAGAUUUUCAAUCAAAUCACAUAUUUAUUUUAAUAAUCCACAAUCCAUAUCCCAUAAAGAAAUAAAUUUAUUUUCUAAACAAUCAUUUCAUUAUUUUUGGAAAAUAAUUUAUUAACUUUCAAAAAAAAUUUACUUCCUAAUUUUUUAAAUUUUUUUAAAAAAUAAUAUUAUUAAUUUUUGAAAAAUGAUAUAUAUUUUUGUGGCUCUCAAAAAUAAUACAUUGUUACUUGCUAAAAUAUAAUUACGUAAUUAUUAAACAAAUACCCAACACUUACCAAAUGGGACCCAUAAUUUUUUUUUUUUUGUCUUCUUGCAUAUCUAUUCUGCUUGUAAUGGCUAUGAUUAGGGGUGUGCAUCGAAUUCGAAUUCGGAAAAUUUGGAAGUUUGAAUUCGAAAUUUUUUGAAAUUUUGGUAUAGGAAUUAUCGACCAAUUUCGAUUUCGAAUUCACCAGUUCAGAUUUCAAUUUCGAUUCCGAAUCCAAUUCGGAAUUCGGUAAAUUUUGAAUUCACCGAAUUCGAAACCUUUUUUCCCUUUUUUUCUUUUUUGUUAGAUGUAUUGUUAUAUAAUAUAAAUUUUAUAUUACAUAUAUUAUAAAAAAUAUUAUUAUAUAUAAAAAUAUUAUUAAAAUAUUAUUAUAUAUAAAUAUAUUAUUAUAUACAUAAAUAUAUAUUAAUAUACAUAUUAUAAAAUGAAAUUGAAAUAAAAAAAUAUUAUUAUAAAUAUAAAUAAAAAAAUAUUAAUAUAUAUAUUAUAAAACGAAAUUGAAAUCGGAAAUUUCGAUUUCAAAAACUCCAUUACCGAAUUUGAACCAAAUUCUCAUAAUUCGAAAUCGACAAUUCCGGUGUCAGUGCCGGAUUUUGAAUUACCGAUUUCGAAAAUUCUGAAUUCAAUUCGAAUUCGGUCAAUAAAUCGGAAUUUUUUAAUUUUGCACACCCCUAACUAUGAUAUGCAUCAUGGCUAUUACAUUCCCACUAUGGGAGAGGGUAUAAUUGUUGGGUAUAAUAAAGGGUAUUAUUUACACCUUCUAUUACACUCCAUUGUGGAUGCCCUUAUAUUUUGAUGUGAUAAGGUUAUUUGAAUGACCAAAAGCUCCUUAGCGCAAUAGAAGUUUGUUUAGGUUGGGAGUGGACUGGCCAUGCUCGAAGAAUAAUUUUUCCUUUUAGGGUCCCAUUUGAGUUGAAAAUCUGAUUGAUGUAGUCUUCAAAGGGCAAACAUUAUUUAUAGUUGAUAUAUUUUUUUUAAUUAAGGAAAGUUCAACAAAGAAAAUUUCCAUAAUGGUAUAUGUGUAUACACACACAUUAAUAAAUUACUACUAAAGUAGUAGCACUUGAAAUCUUAAACUUAUGUUUAUUGUUGUGUCUAGAUUUUUUUUGACAAAAUAUCAUAAUUUCAUUAAAAUCUGAACAAAUGGCGGAAGUUACAUCAUCAACUAUAUACAGAUAUUAAAGAACAGAUCUGAGAAUAACGGAUACUACAGAUGGUCUUGGAGUUACAAUUGUUUUAUCUUAAUUUUUAUUAUUUGUUCUUCAUAUUUGUUUGUGUCCGGAAUUUUCAAAAGGAUAAUAGUCACCAUGAAUGUUAUCAUUUUGAAUGUCAUAACAAUUGAAAAUCAAAUUAUGAUUUCAAAAGUCAUAAACGUGCAUUUUUUUGGAUAAAAAUAUUGAAAUGGCACAACAAAAUCCGGAGGAUUUCAAAAGCCUUCAAAUUUUUUUAAUUUUCUAACAAAUCUGGCAUUAGAAAUGGCACAACAAAAUCCGGAGGAUCUCUCCGCAAAAAGACAUGAUCACAUAUGAAUUUUGCAUUCUUAGCUAGCACAUGAGUGACUUUAUAAUUACCUAAAAUAUAAGAAUUAGGAUAGGAUUAGAUGGGUAGUAGCAUCAUAAAUGAAUCAUAGACAUAACUUAAAUUCAAAUUAUUACAUUCUAGUAUCUCAGAUCCUACUGCAUGUUUGUUUAUUUUAUAGGGGUAAAAUUACCUAAAAUCCAAGAAUAUGGACGGAAUUAGAUUGGAAGAUUAAUCAAAUAGUAUUAGAAUACAAUAUAAACAUUUGUAACUCUUAAACUUGCUAUUUUCUUGCUCCUUAGCAGGACAAUGUGUUCUGAUUUGGGAAAGGAAAAUAGCAAGAUUAUGAAUGAGGCUGGGAGCUGCAACCUUCCAUAAACCAUAGAUUGUAUUAUAAUAUAAUUAAGGAUUAAUCUUCUACACACUAACAUUGUAUACAUUUUCACUAUUAGAUACAUGACACGUAAUCCGAAUUUGAAUUUAAAAUCCAAAAUUUGCAUAUAUGUUGUGCAUUUAAUUAUGAUAAUGUAUAUACUAUCCGUAUAUAUAAGAUUUACUCAUUAAUUAAACUAUAAUAUCAUCAUCCCUAGGUUGUCUUUUAAUGUGAUUAAACCAUUAAUCUCCCAAUUUAAACCUACCAUUAGCCGUAGACUAAGGUAAUUUCACAAGCUAAUGCAGUUUCUUAAGAUUAGGAGUAAUAAUUUGGAUUUCCGUUGAUUUUGUGAUUUUCAAAUUCAUUGUAUCUGUGAUGCUAAUUGUUGUCCUAUCACUCUCCAUCAAAGCAAACAAAAAUAACUCUCUGCCGAAGUAAACAAAUAUAGGGAUUGCAGGGGAUAGGUUAUCCUCUAAAAUCUCUCUUACCCACUCCUCACUCGUUCAGAACAGUCUCUUAUCAAACCUAUCGGAGAACCCAACCGAUUCAUGAAACCAAAAUACAUGCAUCUACAUGGUUUAAAAAUUUGGAAACUAACAAAAUUAGUACAUUAAGAUAAAAACAUUCCAUUAUAAUAAAACCAUAGGUUAGAGCCAUGAUUUACAAUCAUACGAUAUGCAACUUAGAAAAAAAUCACUUCAAAGAUCGUGGCCAAAUGAUCAACUUGAAACAACAACUAAAUGGUACAAGUAGCCCCCCCUCCCCAAUACCAAACUCUAAUGGAUAACCCAUUGCUCGUACAAUCGAACUAAUCAUCAGGUCGUGUAUCAAUGGGUAUUGGGUUUUACCCUAAUUGUUGCCAUCCAUAAACAAAAAUUACAAGAACAAGUCCAUUGAUCUUGCCAAUUACUGAUGUCACCAAAACUUGUACUGCAAAACUCCUCCUAAUUGAGAAUCUCGAGGAGCUUCAAAUCUUGUCGGAGCAUCACUUCUCGCCAUGCAGCAGUAGCCCCAUACUAAGUCUGUGAGCAAAACCAUAGCCUGAAAAGAAAGCAAACGCAUAAGAGUCCUACUGAGUUUGUUAGUCGUUGUGUAAAGUUAUAAAAAUACCCAAUAUAUCCCAAUGUAUGAUUCAGAAACUGGCAAAUCCUGAGCUAUCAGGCAAUUACCUAAUACAUCCCAAUGCAUGAUUUCAGAAACUGGCAAAUCCUGAACUAUCAGGAAAUAAAAUCUGUAGACUGUGUGCAUCAACUGCCAGGCUAUGGCUUCUACCUGGCUGACUUCCCAGUAAGAAAUCCUCCAAAAUUGAGGACUUAAUUGGAGAAACUCCAUAAGAUCUUCUUCAAUUGGUUGAUCCAUUCCCUUAGCUAGAAAUCUUCUCAGAUCCUUGUGAGAAGAUACUGGAUAUAGCCAUUUAGAGCAGAUACAUGUAGAACGGUAUACUUCCAAAUACUCCACAAAGCUGAAGAACAGAGAUAAAAUUGAGCUGCACAAGAGUUCCAAUUCUUCAACAUCAGCUUUUAAAGCUAAACAAUAGUUUUGUUGAUAAAAGAUACAUAAGCCACAUGCAUUUUUAUAUUUAUACCCUCAGAAAGAGGCAAAUCACAUUAGAAUUCAGUCUGGAUGCACCCUGCAGGACACAAUCAAAUAUGCUUAUGUCACAGGAAGAAAUAAAUUAUAUAAUUUCCACAGAAAACAUUAACACCCCAAAAAAUGAUACAUAAUCGCCAAUUUUCCUUGCAACCAAAAAGCAGAAAAAAAUUUAUGAGAUUUUCAAACCUUUCACCCUCUAAAGCAGUACAGCAAUAUUAUUCAUACCUAAACCACUGGCACAAGUACCUUCAAAUGCUGAAAUGAAAGAGCUUUCCAGUGCAUUUCUAUCCUCUGAUGCAGCAACAUAUGAAAAGUCUACCGAAAAGUUGGAGUUCCAAAAAGGGACCUGGUCAUGAGAAUCAUAUAGCAAUUACAAGCAAGAUAAAUGGCAUGAUUGACGCUGAAGACAUAUUAAUUCACUAGUCAAGAGAACUGCAAGUAACUUGAGCAAAUCCAAAUGUCAUAAGAAUUAGUCUUAGCAAUAAGUGAUAAAAGAGAGCAAAUAUAUACUGAAUGAGGGACUAACAAAGUGGCUCAACUCCAGAAGUAAAGAUAACUAUACAGAAGAUAGGAUAAAAAUUUCCAUAUAACAUUUGUGGCAAAACAUGCUGCUUAAAGUUUCUUGAUUUUUGUAUAUGCAAGCUAUUCCUAACAAGUUCCUGGACCUCAAGGUCUAGUAUCCAAGCAAUCAGAUCUAAAGGAUAAGAAGUUUUGUAUGUGGCCAAACUACAAAAGUUAAGAUCAUUCAACUAGAUAAAGGACAAAAAUUUCCCUUUGCCAUUUCUACUAAAACAUGCUAAGCUUCUUGAUUUUUGUAUACAAAAGUUAUUCCCAACAAUUUCCUGGACAUCACUGUCUAAUUCUGGUAAAGACCAAGAAUAACAGGUGCAACCAACAUUGACAUGUAUGGGCACAUAUUCUUACAGUUUCUGCCUUUCUGGCAUAAUCAAUGCCAGUUACUAUAACCUCUAGCACCUUUUCUGGUCCAGUUAUACCACGCUGUAAACCAAUUUCUUCUGCUCUGACAGUUUUUCCUGAAUAAUCAUCAAAGAUCAGUUAGGUUAUAUUUUAAUUUAAACCAGGAUCCACACUUACAAGACUUUCCCUCUUUUAGUAUCAAGUAUAUCAGUUGUACCUUAUCAUGACGCUUUGCCCAUUUCUUAACCAACACAAGAGCUUGUACAAGCGGUUGACACCUUUCCACCUGAAAACAGGAAAACCAUCACUGUCAACAUCCGAGACAAAGCCUCAGAUUCAUGAAUCAACUAAAGCCUGUACUAAGCCGUCUAAAGACAAACUCUAGCAAUUCUUUUCAGGGAAUUUACAGAGAAUGGAUAGUGUACUCCUCUCCAUUGAUCACAAAUCAACCUGGCAUACCAACAAAUAAUACAGACGAAAUGCUAUUAUUUCAAUUCCCCUAAAAAAUUUCAGAAUAUUUUGCAUAAAUCAGAUCUGACGACCAGGAAGCUAUCAAUCCUGAUUGUACUCAAACUGCAUAUUCACCUUCAGUCUUUUCACUUGGAAAAAGAAAUACAAAACAAAUCAAGUCUUUUCUAGUAAAAAUCAUACGCAUAGUAGGUAUAUUACUCACCACAAACAAGAUGGGACCGAAAUGUAAUUUUAGCACAAUAAAAGGCAAACUGACAACUUAAAACAAUUUUUUUUUUUAAUGUCACACGAACAGAAUGUCAAGCAAAAUACAUUAGACAGACAUACAACAUAGUGAAAUAUUGUUAAAAAAGAAUGCAGACUGACAUUGAACUACUCAAUUUCUUAGUUGUCAAAUCCAGACAACACAGAGCAGUAUAUGUAUAGUUAAUUAUAGCACAACAUAAUUACUGCACUAGUAGACAGAAAAAUCAAUGAAUACAAAAAGAGACUACAUCCUAACCAGAAGCAUUGAGAAGCAUAUAUGCGUGAAAGCAAAAUCUAAGACCAAAAUCUUCACAUACCAAUCUGAAGAAGUCUUCCUGCAAUUUUCUGGCCAAGUUUGAUGUUAUUGUGGAUUCUACAUGCAGCUAGAAGAACUUCCAAAAUCACGGCAUCUGGCUCCAAAGGCAUCUUGUCAAUAAUGGACUCAGCCUCAGAGAGUCGCCCAGCUCUGCCGAGAAGAUCCACCAGAGCAGUGUAGUGAUAGAUUGUGGGUGCAAUCAGGUAAUACUGAAUCAUGGAACUAAAGUAGGCCAACCCUUCAGCUACUAACCCUGCACGGCCACAAGCACAAAGAAGCCCCAGAAAACUAACCUGAUCAGGAACAAAUCCUUCACCUUCCAUUUUCUGGAAAAUUUGGAUAGCAUCUUCAACAAAUCCAUUCUCACCACAGCCAGUCAAAACAGUAUUCCAUGUGACCAGAUCUCGCUCUUGCAUACUUUCAAAAGCCAAAAAACCAUCCUUAGAGCCAAACUUAAAGUACAUAUUGAUCAAAGCAUUACCAACAAAGAGAUGGGAAGCCCAUCCAAGUUUAAAAAUAAGGGCAUGGAUCUGUUUUCCGAGCUUGACUGCACAUAGGCUCCCGCUAACACUAAGGAGGUAUGGAAAAGUUAGCUCACUUGGUUUUACAUCCUGGCCUAACAUGUCGAGGAAUAGUUGACAAACAAAUUCUCCUUCCCCAGCUUGCACAUAAGCUGCUAACAUAGAAUUCCAGGAUACCAUGUUAUGUUUUGGCAUCUUCAGGAAUGUCUUUAAAGCACAAUCCAGCAUGUCAUUCUCAGAGAAACCAAUUAUGAGAGAAUUCCAAGAGACUAUAUCUCUCUCACUCAUAGAACUAAAAGCCAGAGAACUGACUUCCAUAUUCUUGGAUUUAGCAUACAUGGAAAUCAACCCAUUUCCUAUGUAGGUAUUGUAUUGAUAACCUAAUUUAAAAACAAGAGAAUGUAUCUGCCUACCAACUUCAUAAUCUCCACAGUUACUACAUGCCAGGAGAGCACUAGUGAAACUAGAACAACUAGGUGCAGUGCCUGACCUAUGUAGCUGAACUAAUACCUCCAAAGCUUCUCUAUUCUGUCCACUCUGCACGAGCCCAGAGAUCAUCGCCCCCCAAGAAACUAUAUUUCUCACAGGCAUCCUUGCAAACAGGUUUUUGGCCUCCUCAACCAUCCCAUUUUGCGCAUAUCCCGUGAGCAUCGCAUUCCACGUAACAACAUUUGGGUUCCUAAUCUCAUCAAAUAAAAUUCUCGCUUCAUUUAACAUCCCAUUUUGAGCAUAGCUACUCAUCAUUGCCGUUCUUAUAUCAACAGUUACAUCAGGAACUUGUCUAUACAGUGCAAUGGCAUCUUCCAACCUUCCACAUUCUGAAAAGGCUGUGAUCAUCGUAGUGUAGGCAUAGUCAUUCCUCUCUUGCAUUCCCUCAAAAAAUUUGAUAGCAGAGUCCAAACUCCCAUUCCUUGUCAAACCAUUCAAAGUCGCAGUCCCCACCACCACAUCUUUGUCGUAUCCGAUCUUCAUCACCAAUGCCAUCAAGCUCUUAACCAACUCCACAUCAUCCAAUCCUGUUGCAGUGGACAAAGUAACCACAAUUACAGCCUGGUCUAGCUUUACCUCUCUCCAUCUAUGAAUCUCCAAAAAUAAAGCCCAAGCUUCCUCAAACUGACCUAUCUCCACAUACCCAGAAAUCAUCACCACCCAUGAAACUGAAUUCCUCUCCGGCAUUUCAUCAAACAAAGCAUGAGCCUCGUAUACUCUCCCACACCUGCAAUACCCUGUGAUCAUCGAAUUCCAAGUUGACACAUUCUUUUCAGACAUUACAUCAAACAACCUCCUCGCAUUAACAAAAUCACCAAUUCCCCAAUACCCACUAAUCAUCGCAUUAUACGAAACAAUAUUCCUCUCGGGCAUGGCCUCAAAAAGUCUAAUAGCCUCCCAAAUUCGUCCAUUUUUGGCAUAGCCAGAUAGCAUUGCAGUCCAGGUUGUCACAUUCUUAUCUUGACAAACGUUAAAAAGAACUUCGGCAUCCUUGAUGCGGUUGCUUUUCGAGUAACCAGAGAUCAUGGAGUUCCAUGUGACAGAGUCUCUUUGCGGCAUUGAAUCAAACACCUUGCGGGCAUGAUCGACUUGGCCAAAUUUCAGCAGCUCGUGGAUUCUUUUGUUGCACUGAAAAAUAUGGGUUCUUGGGUUCCAUGGAAAUGUGCAGAAGGUGCGAUUGAAAAGAGAGCGAGACAUAAAAUGGGUGUAGAGACAUAAGGAGGGAGAAGGCAAAAGUUCGUUAGGUGCUUGAAUUGGCGGGACUGGGCAAACGGUAUGAACAGAAUCAGGUUUAUAGACUUAUUAUAAACAAUUAAAUUUGAGCUAUUGUAGGGGUUUUUCUUAAAAUAAAAAAAAAACUUUUUAAAAAGUGAAAUUAAACCCUAUUUGGGAUUACUAUGGACCAAUGGCUUAUCAGAAACCUUUUUUAAAGAAAAAAAAAAACUAAAAGUGCCUAUUAUGUGCUUAAUAAUUGUUGGGAGAGCAAGCAUUUAUGUGGUUGGGUAGCCAUUAUUUACCGAUAUUAUUUUGCUUGAAUUAUAAUCACAAUAACUAAACACUUUUUUUUUAAAAAAAAAAAUCUUCACAAUCACAUUUUCAUUUCUCAUUUAUCACAUCACGGAAAAUACUACGAGUGUAUUUGGGUAGGAGUUUAUUUGAAAUAUUGUUUGAAAUAAUUAAUAUAUUAUUGUUCGUGAUGUGAUGUUUGUAUUUCAAAUUAAAAAAGUGAUUUAAAAAAUAAAAGAAUUAAUUAAAAAACAUAUUUAUGAUACAAGCAAAAUGAUAUUUUUGGAUAGGGUAUUAUUUGAAAUAUUAUUUGGAAUAAUUACUGUAGCACUUUUUGUGAUGUGAUGUAUGUGAGAUAAAAAGGUGGUUGGGAAUAUAAAAAGGUGAGUUGGGAAAUGUGUUUAUGAUACAAGCGAAAUAUUAUUUGAGAUAACAAUGCUAUCCAAACACUUACUAUCCAAUUAUUCCAAAUAAUUAUUCCAUCAUUAUUGGAAAUGUUACCCACUAAAGUGCAGUUGAUUAACAAUCUAUAAGAAUAACCAUAAGCCGCCUAUUCCAUCGGUGAAAUGACAUGACCUCAGGAUGGAAUGAGUUUCCUCCCCUCCUAAACUUAUAAAGAAUGAAAAAGAAGAUAGUUAUUGGAUCAUGCGUUCUUUUUUUUUUUUUUCGAGAUUUUUGAAAUGUAAUUUUGUCUCUAUAAGGUUUUGAAUUUAUCAAUCCAUAAGCGAAGUUCUCAAGAAAGACCACCACUGCAACAUGUACAGUUUUUCUGCCAUAGUCAUUCGCAUUGUCCCCAUUUCAUCCAUUCUAACCACACAUUCAUUAUAACCUGUUUUUUUUUUUUUUUGAAAUUUUUGAAAUGUAUUUGUGUGUCCAUACAGUUUUUGAGAAGGCUUGAUUAACAUUCAUUUCAUGAGAUCUUGAGUCUUCCAUCUUGGAUUUGGGGGCAUUGGGCUGUUAUUGGCACCUCCAGUAGAGGAAAGAUGCCUUUUGUUAUCAUAACUCCAGUUUUUUUUUUCCCUGCCAACUCUAGCAUUGGAUCUCAAUUUAAAAGAACAACAAUGAAAAAAGAUGAUAGUAAUGUUAUAAGUCAUUAAACUCUCUUUGCAUUUCUUGAGGAAACCAGACAUUGUCAGGUGCUACAAAACAUUUUCAGCAUCACACGUUACUAACAAUUGCACAAACGGCUGGCAAGUAAUAGAAAAUUGCCAGACUGAAGCCUUUUAAAGCUAAUUACUAGAAACUAAUGCUAAAGUUCCCUGAAUUACAACUAGAAGAAGUCUAAUGCAGGUCUCACCUCAUGUUACCCUCCCGCAAGACAU